rnacentral:rRNA from 1 species
UUAAAAUCCAGUUUAUCCUGCUGGAGGCUGCGGCUAUCUGGUUUGUACUUAGGCAUGCAAGUUUUUUCAGUACUCUGUAUUGAAGGAGCGAACUGCUCAGUAACACGUAGCUAACCUACCCUAAGAACAGGAAUAACCUCGGGAAACUGAGGCUAAUACCUGAUAGUAGAAACCUACUGCAAUGUGGAUUCUACAAAAUCUUCGGAGUCUUAGGAUGGGGCUGCGGCGGAUUAGGUUGUUGGCGGGGUAAAAGCCCACCAAGCCAAAGAUCUGUAAGGGCCUUUAGCGAGGGAGCCCUGAGAGGGAAUCUGAGACACUAUUCCCAGCCCUACGGGGUGCAGCAGCUGAGGAUUUUCUGCAAUGCGCGCAAGCGUGACAGAGCUAGCCAGAGUGCUUUCCUAAUAAUUGGAAAGCUUUUGCCAGUUGUAAAAAGACUGGCGAAUAAGGACUGGGCAAGACCGGUGCCAGCCGCCGCGGUAAUCCCGGCGGUCCGAGUCGCAGCCACUAUUACUGGGUCUAAAACAUUCGUAGCUUGCAUGGUCAGUCUCUUGUGAAAUCUCAUAUCUCAAAUAUGAAACGCGCAGGAGAUACUACCAUGCUAGAGACCGGGGGACGUAAGGAGUACGGCUGAGGUAGUGGUUAAAUACGUUAAUCUUAGCCGGACUAACGACAGCGAAGGCACCUUACGAUAACGGUUCUGACAGUCAGGGAUGAAGGCUAGGGGCGCAAAACGGAUUAGAUACCCGUGUAGUCCUAGCAGUAAACACUGCACACUAAACAUUGGUACCUCUUCGAGAGGUGUCGGUGCUGUAGGGAAGCCGUAGAGUGUGCUACCUGGGAAGUAUAGUCGCAAGGCCGAAACUUAAAGGAAUUGGCGGGGAGACACCACAACGGGUGACGCGUGCGGUUCAAUUAGAUUCUACACCGUGAACCUCACCAGGAACGACAGCAGAAUGAAGG